rnacentral:rRNA from 1 species
CGGCUGAGUAACACGUAGGUAACCUACCCCUGGGUGGGGAAUAACCCGCCGAAAGGCGGGCUAAUACCGCAUACGAUCCCCGGCCUCUGGGCUGGGGAGGAAAGCAGUGAUGUGCCCGGGGCUGGGCCUGCGGCCGAUUAGCUAGUUGGUGGGGUAAGGGCCUACCAAGGCGAUGAUCGGUAGCUGGUCUGAGAGGAUGAUCAGCCAGACUGGGACUGGGACACGACCCAGACUCCUACGGGAGGCAGCAGUUAGGAAUCUUGGGCAAUGGGCGCAAGCCCGACCCAGCAACGCCGCGUGGGUGACGAAGGCCUUCGGGUCGUAAAGCCCUUUUCCCAGGGAAGAUGAUGACGGUACCUGGGGAAUAAGCCCCGGCUAACUACGUGCCAGCAGCCGCGGUAAUACGUAGGGGGCGAGCGUUGUCCGGAUUUAUUGGGCGUAAAAGGCUUGUAGGCGGCCACCGCGCGUCGUGCGUGAAAUCUCCCGGCUCAACUGGGAGGGGUCGUGCGAUACGGCGGGGCUCGAGGCCGGUAGGGGGACGCGGAAUUCCCGGUGUAGUGGUGGAAUGCGUAAAUAUCGGGAGGAACACCAGUGGCGAAAGCGGCGUUCCUGGACCGGUGCUGAC